UUGGCGUGCUAGAAGGACCCAGCAGUGUCUCCUGUGAGUUCAGUAGCUGUCUGUAGUAUGCUAAGCAACGCCAUCGUUCGCUGUUAGACAUCUUCUUUCAAAUGUUUUCACUCGUCAACUUGUGCGCAGAAUCUGAAGCAUUGGUCAAAGGAUCCGGUCAUCCUGUUCCUAGGACUCGAACUCUAUCACCAGCGAAGCUACUCGGACGUCUACAUCACUGGGCUUGUGGCGGAAGCAGCUGCAUUCAUGGAUUUCCUUAUUCUCCGGACGCACUUAACCACGCCACCAAGCCUGGCAUCGAAUCAAUGUCACGUGGAGCUCAUCGGCAGCUGGACGAAAGAUUCCCUGAAUGACAAGCUGCUCUUGAGCAUGGAAGACGCUGCACGUUUCUUGAAUUCAUCGAGGCUCGAACGUGACGUGACUGUUCCUCUGCUGCUGUCCCACUCGCUGGCCGUGGUCGAGUAUGAGGUGGAUAAGGACUCCCAAGCACAUCAACCUCGACUGCGGAAUCUUAAAUGCACCAAACGUUCCCUCCAGCCA